rnacentral:rRNA from 1 species
AUCAAUAAGCGGAGGAAAAGAAACUAACAAGGAUUCCCCUAGUAACGGCGAGUGAAGCGGGAAGAGCUCAAAUUUGUAAUCUGGCACUUUCAGUGUCCGAGUUGUAAUCUCGAGAAGUGUUUUCCGCGCCGGACCGCAUACAAGUCUGUUGGAAUACAGCGUCAUAGUGGUGAGAACCCCGUAACUGAUGCGGAUGCCCGGUGCUUUGUGAUACACUUUCGAAGAGUCGAGUUGUUUGGGAAUGCAGCUCAAAUUGGGUGGUAAAUUCCAUCUAAAGCUAAAUAUUGGCGAGAGACCGAUAGCGAACAAGUACCGUGAGGGAAAGAUGAAAAGCACUUUGGAAAGAGAGUUAACAGUACGUGAAAUUGUUGGAAGGGAAACGAUUGAAGUCAGACUUGUUAUCUGGAGUUCAGCCUUUCGGUGUACUCUCCAGUUUACAGGCCAGCAUCAGUUUUCGGGGCGGGAAAAUCGUAAUUAGAAGGUAGCAGCCUAGCUGUGUUAUAGCUUUUUACUGGAUUCCGCUUUGGGGACUGAGGAACGCAGUGUGCUUUUAGCAAUACCCUCGGGUAUUUCACACUAGGA